rnacentral:rRNA from 1 species
UACGUAGGGUGCGAGCGUUAAUCGGCCUUACUGGUCGUAAAGCGUGCGCAGGCGGUUAUGUAAGACAGAGGUGAAAUCCCCGGGCUCAACCUGGGAACUGCCUUUGUGACUGCAUGACUAGAGUACGGCAGAGGGGGAUGGAAUUCCGCGUGUAGCAGUGAAAUGCGUAGAUAUGCGGAGGAACACCGAUGGCGAAGGCAAUCCCCUGGGCCUGUACUGACGCUCAUGCACGAAAGCGUGGGGAGCAAACAGG